rnacentral:rRNA from 1 species
GACAAACGCUGGCGGCGUGCUUAACACAUGCAAGUCGAACGGUUCUCCUUAGGGAGAAUAGUGGCGGACGGGUGAGUAACACGUAGACAACCUGCCUCGCAGUGGGGAAUAACGUCUCGAAAGAGACGCUAAUACCGCAUAAGCUCUCUGUUGUAGGAUAGAGAGGAAACGCUUCUUUCGGGGAGCGGCUAAGAGAGGGGUCUGCGGCGGAUUAGCUAGUUGGGUAGGUAACGGCUGCCCAAGGCGACGAUCCGUAGCUGGUCUGAGAGGACGGCCAGCCACACUGGGACUGAGACACGGCCCAGACUCCUACGGGAGCAGCAGUGAGGAAUAUUCCACAAUGGGCGCAAGCCUGAUGGAGCGACGCCGCGUGAGGGAAGACGCCUUUC